rnacentral:rRNA from 1 species
ACAUCCAGAGAAUUUAGCAGAGAUGCUUUAGUGCCUUCGGGAACUCUGAGACAGGUGCUGCAUGGCUGUCGUCAGCUCGUGUUGUGAAAUGUUGGGUUAAGUCCCGNAACGAGCGCAACCCUUAUCCUUUGUUGCCAGCACGUAAUGGUGGGAACUCAAAGGAGACUGCCGGUGAUAAACCGGAGGAAGGUGGGGAUGACGUCAAGUCAUCAUGGCCCUUACGAGUAGGGCUACACACGUGCUACAAUGGCGCAUACAAAGAGAAGCGACCUCGCGAGAGCAAGCGGACCUCAUAAAGUGCGUCGUAGCCCGGAUUGGAGUCUGCAACUCGACUCCAUGAAGUCGGAAUCGCUAGUAAUCGUAAAUCAGAAUGUUACGGUGAAUACGUUCCCGGGCCUUGUACACACCGCCCGUCACACCAUGGGAGUGGGUUGCAAAAGAAGUAGAUAGCUUAACCUUCGGGAGGGCGUUUACCACUUUGUGAUUCAUGACUGGGGUGAAGUCGUAACAAGGUAAGCGUAGUGCU